AGGCUGGGGUCUCAGAAGGCAGCGCUCUCAGGGCACCUCCACCAUGGCCUGGGCUCUGCUCCUCCUCAGCCUCCUCUCUCAGGGCACAGGGUCCUUGGCCCAGGCUCCCCUCACUCAGCCGCCCUCAGUGACUGGGACUCCAGGGACGACGGUCACCAUCUCCUGUGCUGGGAGCAGCAAUGAUGUCGGUGGUUAUAACCUUGUCUCCUGGUUCCAACAGCGCCCGGGCACGGCCCCUAAACUCCUGAUUUAUAGUGUCAGCAGUCGGCCCUCGGGGAUCCCUGAGCGCUUCUCUGGCUCCAAGUCUGGCAACACGGCCACCCUGACCAUCGCGGGGCUGCAGGCCGAGGACGAGGCCGAUUAUCACUGUUGCUCAUAUCGAUAUACAGACAGCAGCACUCUCCACAGUGGUGCGGGUUCAUGGGGAAGUGACACCAAAACCCACCCUGGGCUCCCAGGCGCCCUCCUUGCUCUGAAGACGCUUCCCCUCCCUUCAUACACAAGGGCCCAGAGAAUCAUAUUCUAAUCGCCUCCCUCCUCUGUCACCAUAAGAU